rnacentral:tRNA from 2 species
GGCGGUUUGGCCGAGUGGUUAAGGCGAUUGAGUAUGUGCUCUCUAAUAUCAAGUCAACCCAAACGUCUGCUAACACUUCCUUCUAGCUCGAAAUCAAUUCCGUUCGCGGGCGCAUGUUCGAAUCAUGCAGCCGUCG